UUUUUUUUUGCUUAAAGUAGGCUAAAAACUGGUUUUCUUGGUUCAACUUAGCAUGUUUGUGAUAUGUGGGUAUGUCAGCUAUUCUCAUUCCUCCUUUUUCAUUUAGAUCAUUUUUCUUCACCAAUUCACAUUUUUAUGUUCCCGUGUAAUAUACACUCUAUUUAAUUGGUUUUAUAGCACUGUCAGUACUUUGCACUAGACAAAAAUAUAAACCACACACUCAACAACCAAGGGCUGAAGAAAUAUGUUGAUAGCACAACUAGCACUGAUCUUCGUCCAAAGAGAAUAAAACGACGUAUGCUCUUGCAAUGCAUUCCUUUAUUUAAAGCUAACUUAAACAAAUGAGAAAUGUAAACUCUUAGUAU
rnacentral:lncRNA from 1 species